GAUGAAGAACGCAGCGAAAUGCGAUAAGUAAUGUGAAUUGCAGAAUUCAGUGAAUCAUCGAAUCUUUGAACGCACCUUGCGCCCUUUGGCCAUUCCGAAGGGCAUGCCUGUUUGAGUAUCAUGAACACCUCAACUCUUCAUGGUUUUCCAUGAUGAGCUUGGACUUUGGGGGUCUUGCUGGCCUGUGGGUCGGCUCCUCUCAAAUGAAUCAGCUUGCCGGUUUUUGGUGGGCAUCACAGGUGUGAUAACUAUCUACGCUUGUGGUUUUCCACCAGGGUAUCCUUCAGCAGUGGAGGUUCACUGGAGCUUACAAAUGUCUCUCCUCUGUGAGGACAGCCCUUUGAAUGUUUGAUCUCAAAUCAGGUAGGACUACCCGCUGAACUUAAGCAUAUCAAAAGCGGAGGA
rnacentral:misc_RNA from 1 species